UGAAUCUCUACUCAACGUUUGGACCGGCAGUUGAUCGAGCUAUAAUCUAUUUUGCAGCACUUUUGAUCUAAAGAAGAAGAAGAAGAAGAAGAAGAAGAAGAAGAAGAAGAAGAAUGCAUUCGAGAUCAUUAGAUUCACUGCUAUCUCUGACGGUGGAGAAACUGUCUUCUCCGACGAGGUCUAACUUGGCCUCACCUUCAUCUUCUCCUCCAACACCACCAUCUCCGCUUCCGGUCAGCGUAGGACCGGGCGACCGUAAGUAUCCAUUCUGGCCAUCGCCGUCACCGUCACCGUCACCACCGGUCUCUCCGCCAGGCCAGUCCCCGCCAGAGACCGCAUUGCCGCUCUUGCGCCGGCGACGGUCGCAGCCACUUGAAGAGCUUUCUACUUUCUCUUUAGAUGGCUCGUCUUCCACUCCAAGAAACUGGUGGCAAUACUUUGUCAGCUGGUUGGAGUGGCUUUUGCUGAGAUGUUGCUGCUGCUGCUGCUGCUGCUGCUCCUCCUCCUUGCUGCGAACAGUUCCAUCUCCAUCACCUUUGAAGCAAUGCUAAACAUUCUUGAGAAAUCUUUGUAGGUUUUAAUAAUGUUCUUUUUCUUCUUUGAAGUUGUUGUAGCACAACAGUAUCUGCAUGCCUUCUUUGUGUUGCUCUUCUCAUGAUUUUUCUAUGCCUCUUCUACUUUUA